GAGGGUAUAGCUCAGUGGUAGAGCACAUGCUUAGCAUGCACAAGGUCUUGGGUUCAAUCCCCAGUACCUCCA
rnacentral:tRNA from 1 species